rnacentral:rRNA from 1 species
AUGCCGGCCUCCAUCGCGGUCUUCCUGUGCCUGCUCUCGGUGGCCAACGCGGCGGCAAUGGAUCCGGCGGAGAGGGAGACGCUGUUCCUCGUCAUGGACGCCGUCUCCUCCGACCGGGACUGGCGCUCCGAGAGCCCCGACCCCUGCGGCGCGCCCUGGCCGGGGCUCGAGUGCAAGCCGGCGCCCGGCACCGCCGCGCCGCUGCACGUCACGCGGCUGGACUUCGGCGUGGAGCCCAACCCGUCGUGCAAGGACGCGGCCACCUUCCCGCCCCAGGUGCUCACGCUGCCCCGCCUCCAGUCCCUCUUCUUCGUCGACUGCUUCAACAACCCGGCCGCCGUCACCGCCCUCGUCCUCCCUUCCGCCAACCUCUCGUCCUCCACCCUGCAGCAGCUCAGCAUCCGGGCCAACCCGUCGCUGUCCGGCGUCAUGCCGCCGCAGCUCGUCAGGCUCAGGUCCCUCCAGGUGCUCACCAUCUCCCAGAACGGCCUCGUCCGUGGUGAGAUCCCGCAGGGCAUCGGCGAGCUCAAGUCGCUGGUGCACCUCGACCUCAGCUACAACUCCCUCUCCGGGCCGGUGCCCAGCCGGAUCAGCGAGCUCAAGGGCUUGGUCGGCCUGGACCUCAGCUACAACGCGCUGUCCGGCCCCAUCCCCAGCCGGAUCGGCGACCUGAACCAGCUGCAGAAGCUGGACCUGAGCUCCAACAACCUCACCGGCGGCAUUCCGGACACCGUCGCCAACCUCACCUCCCUCACCUUCCUGGCGCUAAGCAACAACGGCCUCAAUGGGCACUUCCCCCCUGGCCUCUCCGGUCUCCGGAACCUCCAGUAUCUGAUCAUGGACAACAACCCGAUGGACGUCCCGCUGCCGUCUGAGCUCGGCAGCCUCGCCCGUCUUCAAGAACUCCGGCUAGCCGGCUCCGGCUACUCGGGGCCGAUACCGGCGGCGUUUGGACAGCUGGCGAGCCUGACGACGCUUUCGCUCGAAGACAACAACCUCACGGGUGAGAUUCCCGCGGGGCUGAGCAGACUGCACAGGAUAUACCACCUGAACCUGAGCAACAACGGGCUGGGCGGGGCCGUGCCGUUCGACGGCGCGUUCCUGCGGCGGCUCGGCCGCAACCUCGACCUCAGCGGCAACUCGGGGCUGUGCCUGGACGUCGUGCGGGACGUCGGCGUCGGCGUUGGUGCCUGCCAUGGCGGCGGCGGCGGUGAUGGUUCCUUGGCGCGUGACUCGGUGAGCAGUGCUGCCAGGGGAGUGAUGGCGAGGGGUUCCACGGACAGUUUCCGGUUUCGCCUGCUCGGCCCAGUGUGCGUGGUAGUGAUCUGCAUUUUUCUUUCCUCCGAAUGA